UAGAGAAAUAAAGACGUGGGGUUGGGGCGAGCAUGGGCAGCUUGGCUUGGGUGAUGCCUGUGACCAAACAAGUCCACUCACAGUAAGUCUUGGCUGUGAAUUGAAUGAGGCAGAAUCAAUCAGAGUUUUCUGUGGGAGUGGCUUCACAUUUGCUUUCUAAACCGCCAAUGGCAGUUCCAAGAUAUAUCCAUUUCGGUGCAGCUGAUAUUUUAGAAUCAGGCUCGAUUGCGCCAAAAACAUUUUGUUCAAGUGCACUGAAGAUUUGAACCUCAUUUGUUUCUUUUCUCCAAGCAAGAAUUGAUCUGUACAACAGUACAAGAGAUCGUGAAAGAGAAAUCUCUUUAUUUUAUGUAUAUGAAGCUUCCUCUGUAUCUUCAACUCUUACGUAUAAUGGAUUCAUCCUGAGGAAAGUUUUGGAAUGUA